rnacentral:rRNA from 1 species
ACGCUCGACACCUACGGGAGACAGCAGUGGGGAAUAUUGCACAAUGGGGGAAACCCUGAUGCAGCGACGCCGCGUGGAGGAAGAAGGUCUUCGGAUUGUAAACUCCUGUUGUUGGGGAAAAAGAGGAUGGUACCCAACAAGGAAGUGACGGCUAACUACGUGUCAGCAGCCGCGGUAAUCUGAGCGGGCUGGCAAGGC